UACGAAGGGGGGCUAGCGUUGUUCGGAAUUACUGGGCGUAAAGCGCGUGUAGGCGGGUCUUUAAGUCAGGGGUGAAAUGCCAAGGCUCAACCUUGGAACUGCCUUUGAUACUGGAGACCUUGAGUCCGGGAGAGGUGAGUGGAAUUGCGAGUGUAGAGGUGAAAUUCGUAGAUAUUCGCAAGAACACCAGUGGCGAAGGCGGCUCACUGGCCCGGAACUGACGCUGAGACGCGAAAGCGUGGGAGGCAAACAGG
rnacentral:rRNA from 1 species